rnacentral:lncRNA from 1 species
UUCUGGAUGGUGGUUGCUUCUUGAGAAGGAGUGUUUUACAGUCGAUCACACUCAUCACCAGCUGGGUGGAAGUGGGAGCUGCUGUAAGGCUCAGUUCUCCAGUAAUGGGAUGGCUCAGUGACCAAAGAAAGCUGUAAGGUUUUGAUCCAGGAGGAAGGGGUCAGGACUGCAGAAAUCUCAGGAGACAGAGAGCAAAGAGCUGUACAAAGACAAUUUGAAAUAUGUGCAAAGGGUUUCAUCUACCACAAAUACAAUUAUCUCAGUGGCAAAUUGUGCAGCUUUCUAUUUAACAUUUCCCUUGAUCUUUUUAUCCUUAUGUUUUUUAUUCCUGGCUACCUCUUACUCUGUGCACCUUUGAAGCUAAGUCUUAUUUAUGGGGUGCUGGUUCUAGUCGUAUAAAGAGCAAAUCU